AUCCAGCUGUCGAGUCCCAAAUAGGACGAAAUGCGCGUCCUGGAU
rnacentral:hammerhead_ribozyme from 1 species